UUUGAUUUCGAACAACACAUGCGAAUUAAGAUUGUUCCACGAUUCAGUUCGAACCACAGAGGGAAUAGCGAACUGAACAAGUCGAGGUUAGACCAAGCUUUUCUAAUCUGCAGGGAGCGACGAAGAACCAACAAUCGUACAUAACAGAGAUGCAGGAGACCAACUAGCAAGACAAAAUCACAAGCACUAUAUUUGCACAGACAAGUUUGAUUUCCAAC
rnacentral:lncRNA from 1 species